CCUGUCAUAACUUGUUUUUCUGGGGUCCGGGACGCUCUCACUUGGAUCUGCGAACCACAUUUCGUUGGCCAUGCCCUUGGUUAAACUCUGGAGUUGUGACCGAAAGCUCAAGAAGCUAUGCAAUGUAGAAUCUUACCACGAAGCUAUAAGAGUCACACAUGAAAAAGGAAUCUGUUCCUCAAGUGAGGCGAAGAUCUAUCUUGAAGACGGGACGCAGGUGGAGGAAGAUACAUUUGGUGAUCUCUGCAAUGACUCCUCUUUCGAAAAGAUAUUCAUCAUCACAGAAAGAUGGGCUGAUC